ACGCACGCUGGCGGCGUGCCUAAUCCCUGCACGUAGAACGCUGAAGGAGGAGCUUGCUUCUCUGGAUGAGUUGCGAACGGGUGAGUAACGCGUAGGUAACCUGCCUGGUAGCGGGGGAUAACUAUUGGAAACGAUAGCUAAUACCGCAUAAGAGUAGAUGUUGCAUGACAUUUGCUUAAAAGGUGCAAUUGCAUCACUACCAGAUGGACCUGCGUUGUAUUAGCUAGUUGGUGGGGUAACGGCUUACCAAGGCGACGAUACAUAGCCGACCUGAGAGGGUGAUCGGCCACACUGGGACUGAGACACGGCCCAGACUCCUACGGGAGGCAGCAGUAGGGAAUCUUCGGCAAUGGACGGAAGUCUGACCGAGCAACGCCGCGUGAGUGAAGAAGGUUUUCGGAUCGUAAAGCUCGGUUGUAAGAGAAGAACGAGUGUGAGAGUGGAAAGUUCACACUGUGACGGUAUCUUACCAGAAAGGGACGGCUAACUACGUG
rnacentral:rRNA from 1 species